CUUGUUCCCAGGGACCUGGAGGGUGACCUUGCAUUUUUGUCCAUCUCAGUUUGACCGGCGUGAGAAUACAACGCCACACCGGAAAUGACUGUUUAUUAUCCGCCACGAUGUUUGUUGACACGGCGGAUGCAUUCCAGUGGUUCCAUGUCACUCAGCAGCGCUCGAUGUAUCGACUACGUGACCCCGAAACAUUUCAUGUGAGAUCCUUUCCCAUGGAACAGAUUCUGAAGCAGAAUUCAAUACCUGAGGAUCCCCAUCUAUCUACAGACAAUGCACCCCCGAGCAUCACAUUAGGGAUGGAUAUUCAAAGUCACAAAGCUGUCAGGGUAAAGAUAAACAAGCUGGAUGUGCAACACGAGCAAGGGGUUAACACGACACACUGUCCACCAUAAAACACUGGCACGCAGCAAUAAAGGAGGAUACAAGAGGAGCACAGGCUGCUGUAAACAGUACAGGUUUCAAAAGAUUGUUUGUUUUUUUUGAGAUGUUUUAUGGGGUUGAAAAUAUAUUCAACAUGUUUUUAAGGCCUUGAGGAUACAUACAAUGUACCUUGCACUUCAACAACCCAUGACUGUUUACA